GCCGGGGCGGGUUGGGUGUUGGAGAUCCUCAGCCCGGAGGGUGCAGGCCUUAGAACUCACAGUGACCCGAAGCCCAUCUCUACUCCUCACGCAGAUCUGAUAUAAAGGGCUCUUUAUAUCAGAUGCGAGGGACACAGCGCCCUGACCCAGUUAAUGUCACCUGUCCUUACUGUCACUACCAGGGAGGCCUCCUUGGCAGCGCCUCACUUUCACAGUCCCUUUCCUCGGCCUGCUUUUGUCACCAGCAACACCCGACAUUUUUAUUUUCUUGCUUCUACUGUCUUUCGUUCUCUCCCACGGAUAAUGUUAGCAGCGUCCAAGGAGCUUCCAGAUGGAAAGGCUCAGCCAGGGGCUUCCCUAUCUCCCGGAGCAGGAACGAGCGGGCCUCCAUGGGAGAAUGGCGCGUCACUCCCGCUUGUCAGCCCAGGGACCCACGCGGGACCGUGGAGGCUGAGGGGGCACCAACUCUCUUUUUACUUCUAGUUUUGCUGCCGCCCGAGCGUGAAGAGAUCUGGAAGCCCCCUUGUCAAGCGGUCCUUGAGUGACGCAGCGCCUCACCUAGGUGCCCUGGACUAAACAGGAAGACUCAGGCUACCCUUGCUUUUGGCUGUUUUCAGUCUCAUAAAAUAAGAUUCCAGACUAAUAUCCAUUGUGGAAGCC
rnacentral:lncRNA from 1 species